UGUCAUGACUGGUUUGGAAGACUAGUGAUUUUGUUGUUCUACAUUUGCAAAACAAUAAGUCACUAUCUUCCCAAAUCAUGCAUAGAUU
rnacentral:pre_miRNA from 1 species